GGCUCAGAAGCUUAGUUGGUCAAAGCGUUCGUAUAGCAUACAAGACUCGUGGGUUCGAAUCCCACCUGAGCAC
rnacentral:tRNA from 1 species